GGUCCUAUAGUGUAGUGGUGAUCACACUGGAUUUUGAUAUCCCAUCUCAAUCCUUCCAGUGACCGUGAGUGGUCUUCUUCGACACAAUUGAACCUUAUACUGAUAACAAUGUAGCCGGUUCGAAUCCGGGUAGGACCU